GAGCGGUAACAUUUCUAGCUUGCUAGAAGAUGACGAGCGGCGGACGGGUGAGUAAUGCUUGGGAACAUGCCUUUAGGUGGGGGACAACCAUUGGAAACGAUGGCUAAUACCGCAUAAUGUCUACGGACCAAAGGGGGCUUCGGCUCUCGCCUUUAGAUUGGCCCAAGUGGGAUUAGCUAGUUGGUGAGGUAAUGGCUCACCAAGGCGACGAUCCCUAGCUGGUUUGAGAGGAUGAUCAGCCACACUGGAACUGAGACACGGUCCAGACUCCUACGGGAGGCAGCAGUGGGGAAUAUUGCACAAUGGGCGCAAGCCUGAUGCAGCCAUGCCGCGUGUGUGAAGAAGGCCUUCGGGUUGUAAAGCACUUUCAGUUGUGAGGAAAGGUUAGUAGUUAAUACCUGCUAGCUGUGACGUUAGCAACAGAAGAAGCACCGGCUAACUCCGUGCCAGCAGCCGCGGUAAUACGGAGGGUGCGAGCGUUAAUCGGAAUUACUGGGCGUAAAGCGUACGCAGGCGGUUUGUUAAGCGAGAUGUGAAAGCCCCGGGCUCAACCUGGGAACUGCAUUUCGAACUGGCAAACUAGAGUGUGAUAGAGGGUGGUAGAAUUUCAGGUGUAGCGGUGAAAUGCGUAGAGAUCUGAAGGAAUACCGAUGGCGAAGGCAGCCACCUGGGUCAACACUGACGCUCAUGUACGAAAGCGUGGGGAGCAAACGGGAUUAGAUACCCCCGGUAGUCCACGCCGUAAAACGAUGUCUACUAGGAGUUCGGGUUUUUCGGAACUGUCUUCCAAAGGCUAACGCAUUAAGUAGAC
rnacentral:rRNA from 1 species